AGCCAUACAAAGUGUUCAUAAUUAAAUAAAUAAAAAUGCCUAUAAGCCUGACACCCCUUUAAAUCUAGUAACUCUGUUUUAAGUUAAAAAGUAAAAUCUAAUUUUUCUAGGACCCAUAUAGGAUGGGCCCUUUACUGUAAUCUUGUCCACUCCCACUGCUGUUAAAGUUGCAGGUGUUGUGUCUUAGAUCCAUCACAGUCAGCUAACACUGGCAGCUCAGGACAAGUAGACCAGCCAGCAGGACACAGAUCAUCCAACCCAGCUGAUCCUGAGACGAGACCAAGCUGCUGCUGAGGACGACAGCCCUGCUCUGGUCACUCUGGAGGCUGACCAGUCUAUUCACGGCUGAAGCUUGAAGAAACAACAAGCCCUGCUCUAGUCACACACCGGCAGCUGACUAGUCUAUGCACAGCCAAAGUUUGAAGACUCAUCAAACACUUUGCUCCUGGGAUCUACAGUUUGCUUCUAUUAUCCUCUGCAGACAGCACAUGCUGGUGCUGUGACUGGAUCAUCAUGUUUGUCAUCACGCAACCUGCUGCCAUUAGAGCAGCACUAUCUUCCUGUACUCCACAAAAGGCAUAUAGAAAGAAAGAGCAUAUGGAUUUGAAGAAGAUACAAAUAAAGU
rnacentral:lncRNA from 10 species